UUUCCGUAGGUGAACCUGCGGAAGGAUCAUUCAUAAUAAGUGUUUUAUGGCACUUUUUUAAAUCCAUAUCCACCUUGUGUGCAAUGUCAGGGUUGAUUCUUCUCUCGAGAGGAUCAACCCCAAACAUCAACUAUAUCUCAACUCUUUGUCUGAAAAAAUAUUAUGAAUAGAACAAUUCAAAAUACAACUUUCAACAACGGAUCUCUUGGCUCUC
rnacentral:misc_RNA from 1 species